UACGAAGGGGGCUAGCGUUGCUCGGAAUCACUGGGCGUAAAGGGCGCGUAGGCGGGCUGUCAAGUCUGGGGUGAAAUGCUGCGGCUCAACCGUAGAACUGCCUUAGAUACUGACGGCCUCGAGGAAGGUAGGGGCAUGCGGAACUGUAGGUGGAGCGGUGAAAUGCGUUGAUAUCUACAGGAACUCCGGUGGCGAAAGCGGCGUGCUGGACCUUUUCUGACGCUGAGGCGCGAAAGCUAGGGGAGCAAACGGG
rnacentral:rRNA from 1 species